AACGAACGCUGGCGGCAGGCCUAACACAUGCAAGUCGAGCGCCCCGCAAGGGGAGCGGCAGACGGGUGAGUAACGCGUGGGAAUCUACCUAGUGGUACGGAAUAGCCCCGGGAAACUUGGAGUAAUACCGUAUACGCCCGAAAGGGGAAAGAUUUACCGCCAUUAGAUGAGCCCGCGUUGGAUUAGCUAGUUGGUGGGGUAACGGCCCACCAAGGCGACGAUCCAUAGCUGGUCUGAGAGGAUGAUCAGCCACACUGGGACUGAGACACGGCCCAGACUCCUACGGGAGGCAGCAGUGGGGAAUAUUGGACAAUGGGCGCAAGCCUGAUCCAGCCAUGCCGCGUGAGUGACGAAGGUCUUCGGAUUGUAAAGCUCUUUUGGCGGGGACGAUAAUGACGGUACCCGCAGAAUAAGCCCCGGCUAACUUCGUGCCAGCCGCCGCAGUAA
rnacentral:rRNA from 1 species